UACGAAUUCUUAAUCCUUCUACGAAUUUAUAAGAAAUAGUAAAUACGAGAGUUUCGUGUAGUAAUCUCCUGUAGUAAACAGUCGUUCGAUGGCAGUCGUAUUCGACGCGUACGCUGUUACGGACUACGUGUACGGACUAAACUCCCUCCAUUGACGAAGGAGGAACGUCCGUUCGUUGGAACCUGGGCCCUAUUGUAACCUUCCCCCCUCGACGUUUUCCUAGACACACUCCGAUUUAAAUCAUGCCUCGCAUGAUCCUUCAAUCCGCGCAAGAUCACUGUCCGUUGUAUGCACGGUGCGGAAUCUUCACGGAACCCAGUAUUUUUCAUGGAUAUUAUUCUUGCAAGCAACUUCAAGUCAGGUACUUCAACGUCUCCGAAGAACGUUCGUAUCCUUGAAAGCGAUACUGUUAAAUAUAACUUGUUGCCUAACAAGCGAACAUUUUUCUAAAAAAUAUCGAAGCAACUGUUAAUCAAACUACGAGAUAAACUUGAAAAAUGGAAGCUUAAUUUUAUCCGAUUCCAAUGAUAAAAUUUUUUCGUUUUCUUUUUUUACGAUCUUCAAACAACUUCAAAAAUCUUGAUCGAAAAACUUUUUUUCAGUUCCGUCCUCAAAUUUGUUCCACAAAUAAAAAAAAGCGAUAAAAAUUC